rnacentral:rRNA from 1 species
UACAGAGGGUGCGAGCGUUAAUCGGAAUUACUGGGCGUAAAGGGCGCGUAGGCGGUGAGACACGUGUGAUGUGAAAGCCCCGGGCUUAACCUGGGAAGGGCAUCGCAAACGAUCUGACUGGAGUAGAAGAGAGGGUGGCGGAAUUUCCGGUGUAGCGGUGAAAUGCGUAGAGAUCGGAAGGAACGUCAAUGGCGAAGGCAGCCACCUGGCUUCAUACUGACGCUGAAGCGCGAAAGCGUGGGGAGCGAACAGG